UGCAAGUAGAACGCUGAAGAGAGGAGCUUGCUCUUCUUGGAUGAGUUGCGAACGGGUGAGUAACGCGUAGGUAACCUGCCUUGUAGCGGGGGAUAACUAUUGGAAACGAUAGCUAAUACCGCAUAACAAUGGGUGACACAUGUCAUUUAUUUGAAAGGGGCAAUUGCUCCACUACAAGAUGGACCUGCGUUGUAUUAGCUAGUAGGUGAGGUAACGGCUCACCUAGGCGACGAUACAUAGCCGACCUGAGAGGGUGAUCGGCCACACUGGGACUGAGACACGGCCCAGACUCCUACGGGAGGCAGCAGUAGGGAAUCUUCGGCAAUGGGGGCAACCCUGACCGAGCAACGCCGCGUGAGUGAAGAAGGUUUUCGGAUCGUAAAGCUCUGUUGUAAGUCAAGAACGAGUGUGAGAGUGGAAAGUUCACACUGUGACGGUAGCUUACCAGAAAGGGACGGCUAACUACGUGCCAGCAGCCGCGGUAAUACGUAGGUCCCGAGCGUUGUCCGGAUUUAUUGGGCGUAAAGCGAGCGCAGGCGGUUUGAUAAGUCUGAAGUUAAAGGCUGUGGCUCAACCAUAGUUCGCUUUGGAAACUGUCAAACUUGAGUGCAGAAGGGGAGAGUGGAAUUCCAUGUGUAGCGGUGAAAUGCGUAGAUAUAUGGAGGAACACCGGUGGCGAAAGCGGCUCUCUGGUCUGUAACUGACGCUGAGGCUCGAAAGCGUGGGGAGCGAACAGGAUUAGAUACCCUGGUAGUCCACGCCGUAGACGAUGAGUGCUACGUGUUGGAUCCUUUCCGGGAUUCAGUGCCGCAGCUAACGCAGUAAGCACUCCGCCUGGGGAGUACGACCGCACGUUGAAACUCAAGGACUUGAC
rnacentral:rRNA from 1 species